CAGCAGGGGGCCGUAAUUUCCCCUUUCCAACUUCCCUUUACUAAAGCCUCUGAGGAAGCUCCCUUGCUCUUUGAGAGUGUGACUCAGGCAAGCUACCCUGGCCACUGAGGAUGAACAAACUCAGACUUUGGGUAUCUAAGAAGAGGAAGAGUGAGGGGCAGCCACCAGCUCUGACAGUGGUUGUGUGAGCCAUCCUGCCUGUUUCUGCAGUGGUCUCAAGUUCUGUUUCUGUACUCAGUUACUCUUUCCUACCCAUGGUAGACCUCUAUGGGAACAGACUGUCUGGCUCAUAUGUAGUAGGCAUUUUUGGGGGGAGUGUUUACUGUCUACUCCAUCACCCUAAGUCACUCUGCAUCUUGUAAAUCCUUGAAGCGUAUGCUCCUAGCAGUCGCCGUGAUUGGUCCACUUCAUACACCUUACCACAGCUAGUGGAGCUCGGUGUGCAAAACGGAAGUGUCAAGGGAUGGAUGUGAAGAAGGCUCCGGUCUCCCCCAACAACUGCUCUCUGCAGAUAGUUUUUCCACCUUGGGAUGCUAUACGUGGAAUUUAGGAGGACCCAAGGACAAGCAAUCAGCCUUGCUGAACUUUGAACCUCUCUGCACAUGUAGACUCAGGCAGCUCCUUGCGCGAGCUUACAGUUUUCACAGUUGGUUUCUGACCCAUCUAGAUGGCCCCUGUUGCCUUGACGUUGAAUACCCUUGGAAGCUGUGCACGCAAGCAUUGAGAACCUUAGUUGUGCAGAAGUCAGUGUCUGUGCACUGACUACCCUUGACCAAAGGAGCUGAGAGUAGACAGGUGGCUGCUUCUGCUUUUGUCUCCCAGGUAGAAGUUCUGAGAGAUCUUCUGCAAGGCUCCCGGAAGGCCCUGGGGGAUGGAGUAACCACUGUCUUGAUUUGGCCAUCGAUUUGUGUUGCUGAAGGCAGGGAAGUCUGUUUAACUAAAGGACUAACGGAGACGUAUAGCGGGGUCUGAGAUCUAUGGAUUCCCUAGGAGAGGAAGCUAUGGAAAUCAUACAGGAAGAAGAGGCUGCUUUCUCUUGAGAGCCCCGUGGUCAGUGAAGUCCCUCAGUGAGUGGCUGUGGUUGGAACAUGGAAGGCCCUUUGCAAGUUCGGGAAAUGAAGUGGGUUUGGGGAUCCAGGAGGGCUGCCGGUCCAGUGGGGGAAUCCAGCGAAAGUAAGAAUGCAGCAACGGAAGCCAUUUGCCAGGAAGUCACCAGAGAAGAUUUCAAAAUGUACUGGCUGGUCUCUACCAAAGGUUGGGAAGCCCUGGCCUCUGGAAACAAGCAACAAGGACUUCCCCUGCUGUCUUUCUGUUCUGCUUCGAAGGGUUAAGCUUUUCCUAACCUUCAGAUGCCAGUUUAUUUACUGGAAUUACCGCCUGCUUCUUAAAAUUAGAAUGCAUGUGUAUCUAAGUUUUGCUUUUUCAUAGAUCUAUACAGAUAAAGAUAGAUAUAGAGUUUAU
rnacentral:sRNA from 1 species